rnacentral:tRNA from 1 species
GCAUAGUUCAGUUGGUUAGAACGUCGGAUUGUGGUUCCGAAGGUCGUGGGUUCGAAUCCCACUGUU